rnacentral:rRNA from 1 species
AUGAACGCUGGCGGCGUGCCUAAUACAUGCAAGUCGAGCGAACAGACGAGGAGCUUGCUCCUCUGACGUUGGCGGCGGACGGGUGAGUAACACGUGGAUAACCUACCUAUAAGACUGGGAUAACUUCGGGAAACCGGAGCUAAUACCGGAUAAUAUAUUGAACCGCAUGGUUCAAUAGUGAAAGACGGUUUUGCUGUCACUUAUAGAUGGAUCCGCGCCGCAUUAGCUAGUUGGUAAGGUAACGGCUUACCAAGGCAACGAUGCGUAGCCGACCUGAGAGGGUGAUCGGCCACACUGGAACUGAGACACGGUCCAGACUCCUACGGGAGGCAGCAGUAGGGAAUCUUCCGCAAUGGGCGAAAGCCUGACGGAGCAACGCCGCGUGAGUGAUGAAGGUCUUCGGAUCGUAAAACUCUGUUAUUAGGGAAGAACAAAUGUGUAAGUAACUAUGCACGUCUUGACGGUACCUAAUCAGAAAGCCACGGCUAACUACGUG